CGCGGGGAGCAAACAGGAUUAGAUCCUUUGGUAGUCCACGCCGUAAACGAUGAUUCUAGUUGUCGGGAUGCAUGCAUUUCGGUGACGCAGCUAAUCAUAAGCAAUCCGCCUGGGGAGUACGGUCGCAAGAUUAAAACUCAAAGGAAUUGACGGGGGACCGCACAAGCGGUGGAGCAUGUGGUUAAUUCGAAGCACCGCGCAGAACCUUCCCACCUUUUGACAUGCACGGACCGCCAGAGAGAUCUGGCUUUCCCUUCGGGGAGUAGGACACAGGUGCUGCAUGGCUGUUAUCAGUUCGUGUCGUGAGAUAUUGGGAUAAGUCCCGCAACGAGCGCAACCCUAGCCAUUAGUUGCCAUCAUUUAGUUGGGAACUCUAAUGAGACUGCCGGUGGUAAGCCGGAGGAAGGUGGGGAGGUCGUCAAGUCCUCAUGGCCCUUACAGGGUCACUACACACGUGCUACAAUGGCGAAUCCAGAGGGUUAAUCCCUAAAAGUGAUUUCAGUUCGGAUCCUCCUCAGCAACUCGAGGGCAUGAACUUGGAAUCGCUAGUAAUCGCGGAUCAGCAAGCCGCGGAGAAUACGUUCCCGGGCCCGUACACACCCU
rnacentral:rRNA from 1 species